GAGAAAUUAACUGUCUCUUAAUAAAUUUUAGAAUUUAACUUUUAAGUUAAAAGGCUUAAAUUUUUCUUUGGGACGAGAAGACCCUAUAGAGCUUGACAUUUAAGUUAGAUAUUUUUUUAAGAUUGUCUUUUUAUAUUUAAUGAUAAUGUUUUGUUGGGGUGACAUAAAGAAUUAAUAAACUCUUUAUUAUAAAAUCAUUAAUUUGUGUUUGUUUUGAUCCAUAAUUUAUGAUCAUAAGAUGAAGUUACCUUAGGGAUAACAGCGUAAUUGUUUUUGAGAGCUCAAAUUGACAAAGCAGAGUGCGACCUCGAUGUUGGAUUAAGAAAAAUUUUGAGUGCAGUAGCCCAAU
rnacentral:rRNA from 1 species